UACGAGGGGGGCAAAUGUUGUUCGGAAUCACUGGGCGUAAAGAGCGCGUAGGCGGAAGCUUAAGUGUGGCCUGAAAGCCCCCGGCUCAACCGGGGAAGGUGGCUGCAAACUGGGCUUCUUGAGGGGGAUAGGGGAAAGUGGAAUUCCGGGUGUAGCGGUGAAAUGCGUAGAGAUCCGGAAGAACACCGGAGGCGAAGGCGGCUUGCUGGGCUCAUGUCUGACGCUGAGGCGCGAAAGCGUGGGGAGCGAACAGG
rnacentral:rRNA from 1 species